UCUUCAAUCAAAUAAAUUAGAAUUAAAAGAAUAUAAGCACAAUUAGGAAACUUACCAAUUCUUUUCCUUAGGCUAUUAUGGAUAUAUUAGAAUAAAGAGGGAAGGAAAAAGGAAGAGAGCAUUAUGCUCAUAUGGGACCGUUGGCCUAGAGGGAAGGAGAGAGAGAGUAGGCGUUUUCUAGAGAGAGAAGGAGAGAAAGAAGAAGAAGAAGAAGAAGAAGAAGAAAGAAGAGAGGAUCGAAUCUCUCUAUAGGAUUUGAGCAAGGUGGUGACCAUAGUUGGUUCUUGUGUUCUCUCAAGGAAGGCUCAUUGUGAAGUUUGUCAGUUUUUGCUUUGCUUGGACCUGAGGUAGCAAAUAGGAUUUCUCUGUAGCACGAGUGGUGAUGUGGGGAGUUCCAACGUCAGGGUGUGUAUGGCGUGGGGCAUCCUAUGGACGAGAAAACGAUCAGUUUAACGCCAGUUUCUAAAGAAUAAUGUUAUGUUUAUUUUUUAAAACUUUUCAGAACUUAUCACUGGGACUUGAACUUCAAUUAUUAUUUUUUAAAGCGUUGCAUGAAAACUAUUAUUUUCUUUUUAAACUAUUGGGCCCAACUUGUAUAUUUUAGUAAGGCCCCACUGGGAUUUUUCAUAUAAUAUUGGCCUUCUUUUUAUAAGUUUAUGAGCAU